rnacentral:rRNA from 1 species
GCAGUCGAGCGGAGAUGAGGUGCUUGCACCUUAUCUUAGCGGCGGACGGGUGAGUAAUGCUUAGGAAUCUGCCUAUUAGUGGGGGACAACAUUCCGAAAGGAAUGCUAAUACCGCAUACGCCCUACGGGGGAAAGCAGGGGAUCUUCGGACCUUGCGCUAAUAGAUGAGCCUAAGUCGGAUUAGCUAGUUGGUGGGGUAAAGGCCUACCAAGGCGACGAUCUGUAGCGGGUCUGAGAGGAUGAUCCGCCACACUGGGACUGAGACACGGCCCAGACUCCUACGGGAGGCAGCAGUGGGGAAUAUUGGACAAUGGGCGGAAGCCUGAUCCAGCCAUGCCGCGUGUGUGAAGAAGGCCUUUUGGUUGUAAAGCACUUUAAGCGAGGAGGAGGCUACUUAGAUUAAUACUCUAGGAUAGUGGACGUUACUCGCAGAAUAAGCACCGGCUAACUCUGUGCCAGCAGCCGCGGUAAUACAGAGGGUGCGAGCGUUAAUCGGAUUUACUGGGCGUAAAGCGUGCGUAGGCGGCUGAUUAAGUCGGAUGUGAAAUCCCUGAGCUUAACUUAGGAAUUGCAUUCGAUACUGGUCAGCUAGAGUAUGGGAGAGGAUGGUAGAAUUCCAGGUGUAGCGGUGAAAUGCGUAGAGAUCUGGAGGAAUACCGAUGGCGAACGCAGCCAUCUGGGCCUAAUACUGACGCUGAGUACGAAAGCAUGGGGAGCAAA